CCAGUCAGCGCCGCGGUAAUACGUAGGUUGCAAGCGUUGUCCGGAUUUACUGGGCGUAAAGGGCCCGCAGGCGGCUUGGCAAGUUUUGGGUGAAAUCUCGCGGCUUAACCGAGAGAGGUCUCAGAAAACUGCCAGGCUUGAAGCAGUGAGGGGGAUGCAGAAUUCCCGGUGUAGCGGUGGAAUGCGUAGAUAUCGGGAGGAAUACCAGAGGCGAAGGCGGCAUCCUGGCACUGACUUGACGCUGAGGGGCGAAAGCGUGGGGAGCGAACCGGAUUAGAUACCCGGGUAGUCCACGCCGUAAACGAUGAGUACUAGAUGUCGGGGGUAUCGACCCCCUCGGUGUCGUAGCUAACGCAAUAAGUACUCCGCCUGGGGACUACGGCCGCAAGGCUAAAACUCAAAGGAAUUGGCGGGGGAGCACGGUCAUAGCU
rnacentral:rRNA from 1 species